rnacentral:piRNA from 1 species
UGGAACUCAAACCUGGAACUGUGGAGACCC